GAUGAACGCUGGCGGCGUGCUUAACACAUGCAAGUCGAACGAAGCAGUUUAUCACGAUCCCUUCGGGGUGACGAUUUACUGACUGAGUGGCGGACGGGUGAGUAACGCGUGGGUAACCUACCUUGUACAGGGGGACAACAGUUGGAAACGACUGCUAAUACCGCAUAAGCGCACAGCUUCGCAUGAAGCAGUGUGAAAAGUUUUUUCGGUACAAGAUGGACCCGCGUCUGAUUAGCUAGUUGGUGAGGUAACGGCCCACCAAGGCGACGAUCAGUAGCCGACCUGAGAGGGUGACCGGCCACAUUGGGACUGAGACACGGCCCAAACUCCUACGGGAGGCAGCAGUGGGGAAUAUUGCACAAUGGGCGAAAGCCUGAUGCAGCGACGCCGCGUGAGCGAAGAAGUAUUUCGGUAUGUAAAGCUCUGAUCAGCAGGGAAGAUAAUGAAGUA
rnacentral:rRNA from 1 species